AGUGAACGCUGGCGGUAGGCCUAACACAUGCAAGUCGAACGGCAGCACAGUAAGAGCUUGCUCUUACGGGUGGCGAGUGGCGGACGGGUGAGGAAUACAUCGGAAUCUACUUUUUCGUGGGGGAUAACGUAGGGAAACUUACGCUGAUACCGCAUACGACCUACGGGUGAAAGCAGGGGAUCUUCGGACCUUGCGCGAUUGAAUGAGCCGAUGUCGGAUUAGCUUGUUGGCGGGGUAAAGGCCCACCAAGGCGACGAUCCGUAGCUGGUCUGAGAGGAUGAUCAGCCACACUGGAACUGAGACACGGUCCAGACUCCUACGGGAGGCAGCAGUGGGGAAUAUUGGACAAUGGGCGCAAGCCUGAUCCAGCCAUACCGCGUGGGUGAAGAAGGCCUUCGGGUUGUAAAGCCCUUUUGUUGGGAAAGAAAAGCAGCAGGUUAAUACCCCGCUGUUCUGACGGUACCCAAAGAAUAAGCACCGGCUAACUUCGUG
rnacentral:rRNA from 1 species